rnacentral:lncRNA from 1 species
UUGAAGGAAUUGUCAUCUUCUAAAGGUACUUUUUAAAAUAUCCUAUUAGUUCUAGUUUGUAAGCAGUACAACAUAAUAAUUUGAGUCCAAUUGUACUGCAGGGACAAGUACACCUGCUUAGAAUGGUGCAACUCUUACUGAAAUCUGCCACUUUCUGAGAGCUCACAGGGUAGCCUAGAAGCCUUAGGUUUUUGCCUUCUAUUGAAAUUCAAGUUUGUAAGAUGAAAAUUAAGUUGUGACGUCUGAGCAUCAAAGAACUUGAGGUUUCAAAUACCCGUGAGCCUUUGUUUAUCUUAAUUUAAAUUGUGGCAGUCUCAGCUACUCUGAAAGUGCAAGUUUAACUGAUGUAACUUCUCUGAAGAUGGACUCUGGUCCCUUUGUGAGUAUUAGAAGAUUAAUCAGAACAACAGAGAAACAGAUAUUCUGUACUGCUUUUUCUUGACAUUUUAGUUUUGGAGAAUGAGCAAUGCCUCCGCUGGGGACUUCCCUGGCAGAUCCACGUCUGAACAGCCAGGGCUGGCUUCCAAGAACAUUAAAUUCCAGCUGCUUUUCCAUCCAAGGCAAGAUUGGUUAUGCAUAUUUGGUGCCUGGCUUAACACUUCAAGGCACAUAAUUUUCAGUGGCAUAAUGGACUGUUUGAGUCUCUCUUGUCAACUGGGAGUUUGAGUAUGUGGCACAUUUGGAAAUUCAACCCAUCCUGACCUAGCAACUGGCAAAAGAGAAAUCUAUCAGUUGCUGUUUAAACCUGAGAGUUCUGCUUGCCUUUGUCUCAUCGGAGC